GACGAACGCUGGCGGCGUGCUUAACACAUGCAAGUCGAACGGUAAGGCCCUUCGGGGUACACGAGUGGCGAACGGGUGAGUAACACGUGGGUGAUCUGCCCUGCACUUCGGGAUAAGCCUGGGAAACUGGGUCUAAUACCGGAUAGGACCACUGCCUGCAUGGGUGGUGGUGGAAAGCUUUUGCGGUGUGGGAUGGGCCCGCGGCCUAUCAGCUUGUUGGUGGGGUGAUGGCCUACCAAGGCGACGACGGGUAGCCGGCCUGAGAGGGUGACCGGCCACACUGGGACUGAGAUACGGCCCAGACUCCUACGGGAGGCAGCAGUGGGGAAUAUUGCACACUGGGCGCAAGCCUGAUGCAGCGACGCCGCGUGAGGGCUGACGGCCUUCGGGUUGUAAACCUCUUUCAGCACCGACGAAGCGCAAGUGACGGUAGGUGCAGAAGAAGGACCGGCCAACUACGUGCCAGCAGCCGCCGUAA
rnacentral:rRNA from 1 species